UACAGAGGUAGCAAGCGUUGUCCGGAUUCACUGGGCGUAAAGGACGUGUAGGUGGCCUUUCAAGUCGGGUGUGAAAUCGUUCUGCUUAACAGAACAAUUGCUCCCGAUACUGUUUGGCUUGAGUGCAGGAGGGGAAAUUGGAAUUUCCGGUGUAGCGGUGAAAUGCGUAGAUAUCGGAAAGAACACCCGUGGCGAAGGCGGAUUUCUGGCCUGCAACUGACACUGAGGCGUAAAAGCUAGGGGAG
rnacentral:rRNA from 1 species